rnacentral:rRNA from 1 species
UUUACCUACGGGGGGCAGCAGUGGGGGAUAUUGCACAAUGGGGGGAACCCUGAUGCAGCGACGCCGCGUGGGCGAUGGAGUACUUCGGCAUGUAAAGCCCUAUCAGCAGGGAAGAAAAUGACGGUACCUGACUAAGAAGCCCCGGCUAAAUACGUGCCAGCAGCCGCGGCAAUACGUAUGGGGCAAGCGUUAUCCGGAUUUACUGGGUGUAAAGGGAGCGUAGAAGGCAGCGCAAGUCUGGAGUGAAAUGCCGGGGCUAAAACCCGGAACUGCUUUGGAAACUUUGCAGAUAGAGU